rnacentral:rRNA from 1 species
GCUAAGCCCUAAACAUUGAUAGCCCCUCCACCACAAUAUCCGCCAGAGAACUACUAGUGAAAAACUUAAAACUCAAAGGACUUGGCGGUAUCCCAUUUCGGCCUAGAGGAGCCUGUCCUAUAAUCGACACUCCCCGUUCCACCCAACCUCCACUUGCACAUUCAGCCUAUAUACCGCCGUCGACAGUCUACCCCAUGAGGGCCUUUUAGUAGACACAAUAGCAACAACUCGCUAAUACGUCAGGUCAAGGUGUAGCAAAAUUUCAAAACAAACGAAAUGCAACAUGAAACACUGCACGAAGGUGAAUUUAGUAGUAAAAUGAAUAAGAGAGUUCAUUUUAACACCGCUCUGGGAUGCGC